rnacentral:rRNA from 1 species
UACGUAGGGGGCGAGCGUUGUCCGGAUUUAUUGGGCGUAAAGAGCUCGUAGGCGGUUUGGUAAGUUGGAUGUGAAAUCUCCAGGCUCAACUUGGAGGGGUCAUUCGAUACUGCCAUGACUAGAGUUCGGUAGGGGAGUGUGGAAUUCCUGGUGGAGCGGUGGAAUGCGCAGAUAUCAGGAAGAACACCCGUGGCUAAGGCGGCUCUCUAGUACGGUACUGACGCUGAGACGCGAAAGCGUGGGGAGCGAACAGG